rnacentral:rRNA from 1 species
AUUGAACGCUGGCGGCAUGCCUUACACAUGCAAGUCGAACGGUAACGGGCCUUCGGGUGCCGAACGAGUGGCGAACGGGUGAGUAAUGCAUCGGAACGUACCUUUCAGUGGGGGAUAACGUAGCGAAAGUUACGCUAAUACCGCAUAUUCUGUGAGCAGGAAAGCAGGGGAUCGCAAGACCUUGCGCUGAUUGAGCGGCCGAUGUCAGAUUAGCUAGUUGGUGAGGUAAAGGCUCACCAAGGCGACGAUCUGUAGCGGGUCUGAGAGGAUGAUCCGCCACACUGGAACUGAGACACGGUCCAGACUCCUACGGGAGGCAGCAGUGGGGAAUUUUGGACAAUGGGGGCAACCCUGAUCCAGCCAUGCCGCGUGAGUGAAGAAGGCCUUCGGGUUGUAAAGCUCUUUCGGCCGGGAAGAAAUCGUAUGGGCUAAUACCCUGUGCGGAUGACGGUACCGGCAUAAGAAGCACCGGCUAACUACGUG